UGGAAAAUCGACUAUAGAUCUUUAGUUUUCAAAAUAAAUUUUAUAUGGUCUUGUAAACCGACUAACUCAUGUUGCAAAUUGACAUACACAAAUUCAAAAACGAAAACCGAAACGUUUUCAUUGAAACACACACAAUAAACGUCAUUUAACACACCUCUCACCUUCUCAACUAAUAUUUUCUUUCAAGACCCCAAAAACAAACACAAAAUCCCUCAUUUCCCCUCUCCAUCAACACAAACCCAUUUUCCCACUUUCAAAUCAUCUUCAUCAAAACCCAUCAUCCUCUAUUGUUGCUUCAUUUUUAGCUUCUCAAUAUAGAGGAUAACAUGUGGUGUCUGAAAGUGGUGUCCAAGUUUGGUUUUUUACACUUCUCACAAGGUAACAUCACUAUCCUACUUUGUGUGUAUUCCGUUUGGUUAGUUGAGAAAUUGUUGAGUAUAGUUGAUAGCAUUGCUAAGAAGAAAGGUUUGUUCAAGUUUGGAUUGUUUUGGAAAAUAAAUUCCAGGCAUUGUUAGUAUUUUUGGGUUGUUCACCAAAAGGUGAUUUUUUUUUCUUGUAUUAAAAUAGAAGUUCCUAGAUAAAAGAUAACCACUACUAAGAGAAAACAAAAAGAAUGUUCUUCUUCAACCGCCUCAAUUUUGGAUUUUAUGUGGCUGUUCACUAAAGAAGAGGACUUUGAGCGCUUUAAUGAUCAAUUAUUUCAUAAGAAUGUGAUAACACCACAUUUUAUUCAUUUGGAGUAAUUUUUAUGAGUUAAUUUCAAAUGAAUGAAUGGUUGAAUUUUGGAAUGUUACUUUUGAGUUUUAGAAAACUAUUUAAAAAUCACAAUUUAUGUCACUGAAGAUAUUACUAGGUUGAGUCGCGGACUAGAUCGCUCUUUUUAAGACGUUUCGCGGCACUGCCCCAAGUUGUGCAAAGCAGACUAUUAGCCACGAAGUCCCCAAGAUAAAACAUCUCAGAUUCAUUGUAUCAAAGUUCCAUUGGACCGUAGAAAACCGUUCGAGAAUUAAAGUCACUAUGACAGUUAAGUCACUGUCAAUAUGACAAUUAAAGUCACUCUCUCUCAAUAUGGUACUAUGACCAUUCAUAACUACGACAUAAUAACUGCUCAAAAAGACAAAAAAAAAAAAAAAUAACAAAGGGACUACCGCUCUAAAAACAAACGAACUAUGACAUAACAACCGCUCUAAAAACCGAAGGAACUACGGUAUAACAACCGCUCUAAAAAUCGAAGGGACUAAGCAUAACAAUUGCUCUAAAAACGAAGGGACUACGACAUAACAACUGCUCUAAAAAUCGAAGGGGCAGAAAGAAAGGGGAGAAGUGGCUCAAAAAUUAGGCAAGCAGAAUAUAAAAGGGAGAAAAGAGAAAGUUGAGAAAUGCAUCCAACUUUGGUGUACUUUUCACAAUAGUUUUAAACUCAUUAUAUAUUAAUGGAAGCAAACUCACAUAUGUUUUCUAAAUAAUGUGGGACUUUAGUAUGUAUACAGUUGAAACUACACAAAAUAUGAUAGUUUUCUAAUGUGGGAUUUCAAAAAAAAUUCUUUCCAAUGUGGGACUUGAAUUUUAAAAAACAUGUUUCUUCCCACUUGAAUUUACAACAAAUAUUUCUUUCCAAUGUGAGACUUGAACAAAUUUUUAAAUUCACACAAUAACAUUACUACAAAUUUCUUUCCAACAGGAGCGUUUUGAUUUUAUCUCUUUGAAAGACAUACCUCACUUCUGGAUCCUUCAAAUGGAUACACCAUUACUACAAUAUCCAAAAUAGGAUACAUAAGAUAUUGGAGGAAUGUUGGUGAAAAAAGGUAUUUCUGAAGAAAAAGUAAAUGACUAUGUUGAGAAGGAUGAUGUCCCCGCUCAAGAAAAGAUCCUUGAGAAUGCUGAGGGUCCUUUCUGAAGCUACUCCUACUUUGUUUACUGGUGUUGAAGCUCGUAUUAUGUAGUGCAUGAAUUGGUUUGAGAAUCAGAUGUUUUGUCAAUUUGAAGGCUUUCACUUGGACUCUCAACAAAACUAUGCAGCCUUAAGGGAGGAAGCCAUAGCUGACAUGGCAGCCACGAAGGAGCGUUUGUAUGAUUGUUAGACUUAAGGUGAUUCAAGAUGGAAUCAUGGACUUUCGAGACUCGUGUGAAUCAAUUCAGCGGGUUUAUAUGUAAAUUCACAAGACCUGCAAAGUUAACUUUUGACGGUUACAAAUUGGUUAUGUCAAUUAAGAUGCAUGGUACUUCGGACAACCAAUGCAUGUCUCUUUAUAUAUUCAUCUCAACCUUCAUUGUAACAAAGAAUAUUUCCACUUAUUCCUAAAUUUUCAUGUAUUUAAGAUCAUAAUCUAGAUUAAACAUUUUUUAUUAUUUAUGUUUUGUUUUUUAUUGACUCUUUGAGUGACUACCUUCAAGAGAUGGGACAUCUCUUGUUGCGAUGAUUGUUCCAAACAUUGAAUAUUGAAGAUAUAUCGAUUUUCUUUGAAUUGAUGUUCUAAAGAAGAAUUUUCUUUAGGGUCUAGAGUGGGAUUUAUACAAGGUUCUAUCUUGCAAGAUUGAAGGAGUAUCUUCAUCUUGAAAAUAAUGAUUCAAAUUAUAUCUUGAAGGGUGUUUCAAGAGAUCUGGUUCAGAGCAUUUAGGAAAAAGGAAUUGGUG
rnacentral:lncRNA from 1 species